AUUUGACCCAUGUCCUGCACCUCACCCAUCUGUGGGGGAAUUACCGGUUCCCUAGUCCAACACCAGAUGGCAGCAGUGGGCUGAGCCGAAGUCCCCUGUGCUGGCAGCUCAUGAUGCAGUCUUUCCACAGCCACAUGAUAGCCACUCUAUGAAUGGGCCAAAACAAUGGGUUCCUGAGGAUGAGGAGAAGGAGGACAGAAGCACACUGCCAAGAGCCGUCAGCUUGGCGGAUGUCCAUGUUGGAAGUCCAGACUAGCUAGGUGGCAAAGCGAAGAGCCAGAAAACCUCCAGACACCACCGCCAGCCCAAUGACAACCCUCAAAUCCAGCAAGGCCACCACCCACAUCAGCCUCAUGUUUAAACACAGCCUGUCCUCAUCUAAAAACAAGAGGAAGCAGAGUAGAGAACACUGCAGAACCACUGAUGCGGGGGUCACGGGGGGUUCAUUGUUUGAGGUGUUGCGUGAGGCCAUCUACUCUGAGGUGGCUAAUGUGAUAUCUCAGAAUGAGACUAGGCCCUGUUUUAUCAUAGUGCUGUUCUACCAGCUGCAGAUGCUAAACACAGACUACCUACGGCAGAGAGCACUAUUCGCCCUGAAGGACAGAGUGGCUCGGCAUCUUUCUGAAAGAGAUGUGACUGAAGACCAGCCUGUGCCUGCCAGCCCUGUUCUCCAGGCUUCCCCCCACCACACAACUGACAUCCACAGAGACCAUGUUCUCAACGUAUGCUGUAUGUAUGCCUUUCUCUGACCUGCAAUCACAAGACAUCCUUUGUUAGUUUUAUGAACAGACCAAAAUUACCAUAACAAGAAUAAUAUUCAUGUCACUGUUUAUUUGAUUUGUAAGAGGAUUACUCAGGAAAGAGACAGAAAAUAAAUGUUUCAGAAGGUGAAUGCAUCCUGUCUAUCGCCUCCCACCUUAAGCCAUUUGCCAUUGAGGAUCUGGGUAAAAAAAACUUUCAUGGAUUUGAACACUGCUAUGUCCUUAAUUAAUAGUCUAUGCUAUAUGUCUAAGUGUCUGUUUAACUUUGAUCUGUUGCUAUGAUUGACUGGACACCCUGCUGUUUUUUAGGUGCCUCUGAUGGUACUAACUCUUCCUUAACUGAGAUCCAGUGUGCACAAGUUGACACUCAACAACUUGACAGGCAGAUAAAUGCUAUCAUGGCUGAGAUCCUUCCCAUUUUGAAGGAGCGUGUGGAGGAGGAGUUAUCUCCUGGUGUCCAUCAGACACAAGGUUCUGGCUCUGACAGCAGAGAAUUCAUCCGCUUCUUCCACAAACAGCUCAGUGAUGUUCUGCAGCUGAGAAAAUUAUAUGAAGUUGUAUUUGUCACAUGCGCCCGAUACAACAUGUAACCAUGAAAUGCUUACUUACAAUGCAGUUUUAA